UGGGGAAUUUUGCACAAUGGAGGAAACUCUGAUGCAGCGACGCCGCGUGAGUGAUGAAGAUCUUCGGAUUGUAAAACUCUGUCCUUAGUGAAGAUAAUGACAGUAACUAAGAAGCAAGCCCUGGCUAAAUACGUGCCAGCAGCCGCGGUAAUACGUAUGGGGCAAGCGUUGUCCGGAAUUAUUGGGCGUAAAGGGUACGUAGGCGGUUUAAUAAGUCCUAAUUAAAAGGCUAUGGCUCAACCAUAGUAUGGUUAGGAAACUGUUGAACUUGAGUAGAUGAGGGGAAAGUGGAAUUCCAUGUGUCGCGGUGAAAUGCGUAGAUAUAUGGAGGAACACCAAUGGCGAAGGCAACUUUCUGGAAUCAAACUGACGCUGAGGUACGAAGGCGUGGGGAGCAAACAGG
rnacentral:rRNA from 1 species